UACGUAGGGGGCAAGCGUUGUCCGGAAUCAUUGGGCGUAAAGCGCGUGUAGGCGGCUCGAUAAGUCUGCUAGUGAAAGUCCAGGGCUCAACCCUGGGAUGCCGGUGGAUACUGUCGAGCUCGAGUCCGGAAGAGGCGAGUGGAAUUCCUGGUGUAGCGGUGAAAUGACGCAGAUAUCAGGAGGAACACCGAUGGCGAAGGCAGCUCGCUGGGACGUGACUGACGCUGAGACGCGAAAGCGUGGGGAGCAAACAGG
rnacentral:rRNA from 1 species